rnacentral:rRNA from 1 species
GACGAACGCUGGCGGCGUGCCUAAUACAUGCAAGUUGAGCGCUGAAGGUUGGUACUUGUACCGACUGGAUGAGCAGCGAACGGGUGAGUAACGCGUGGGGAAUCUGCCUUUGAGCGGGGGACAACAUUUGGAAACGAAUGCUAAUACCGCAUAAAAACUUUAAACACAAGUUUUAAGUUUGAAAGAUGCAAUUGCAUCACUCAAAGAUGAUCCCGCGUUGUAUUAGCUAGUUGGCGAGGUAAAGGCUCACCAAGGCGAUGAUACAUAGCCGACCGGAGAGGGUGAUCAGCCACAUUGGGACUGAGACACGGCCCAAACUCCCACGGGAGGCAGCAGUAGGGAAUCUUCGGCAAUGGACGAAAGUCUGACCGAGCAACGCCGCGUGAGUGAAGAAGGUUUUCGGAUCGUAAAACUCUGUUGGUAGAGAAGAACGUUGGUGAGAGUGGAAAGCUCAUCAAGUGACGGUAACUACCCAGAAAGGGACGGCUAACUACGUGCCAGCAGCCGCCGUAA